rnacentral:lncRNA from 1 species
CAUCGACCGUCUCAGCAAGCGCUACCUCGCCCGGCUCCCGCAUUGCUGAUGGUAAGCCCCUCCUUUGCUCUCUUGGCCUGCUUGCUUGCUUGCGAGCCCCUCCUCUGAAUUUGUUGGCUGGUUGCUUUCUUUCUUCAGCAAGCCAAGAAACAGGGAGUGCCGGCAGUAGUACUCUGAAUCCAUCAAUGCAACUGAAUCCAAACAUGUGAAUCAAGUUGUGGCAGGUAUCUCUGCAUGCUUAAUUCACUCUUUUUUUUUGUGCAGUAGGAGUAGUUGCUAGAAAUUUACUGAAUUUUGUUUCCAGUAGAUGCACUGAAUUUCAAAGAAAGAGUACUCUAGGAGUACAUGGAGUUGAUGCACUGAAUUUUGUUUGCAGUAGAUGCACUGAAAUUUACUGAAUUUUGUUUCCAGUAGAUGCACUGAAUUUCAAAGAAAGAGUACUCUAGGAGUACAUGGAGUUGAUGCACUGAAUUUUGUUUGCAGUAGAUGUAAUUUACUGAAUUUUGUUUGCAGUAGGAGUAGUUGCAGUUCUGAACUGCUAGGUGUACUUGUGGAAGCACUUCGCUGGUGCGCCGUAUCUGAUUGAUUUGCAACUAAAUUCUAGCCACUCUGAAUUCUGAGUCUGAAUGCACAUCAAGGAGUAUUUUUAAAAAGUACAGCAAGGAGUAGCAUCUACAUGUUUAAAAAGCAAUUCAGCUCGAUUUCUGUGUGUAUCCAUAUGCCCAAUCCCGCUCUAAUUCAGCCUACUCCCAUCUCUAGAUAAAUAACAGUAGAAUAAUCUGUGAGUACUGUUAUUUCACAAUACACUGCCAAUUUUCAGCACCAAACCAGGAAAAUUAUGUCAAACGAUUAUGGCCUGAAUUGUGACAGUACUGAAAGCAUGCAAACAUGCCUAAAGGUUAAGUGUUUCACUACUGCACUGGGAUUAAAGAUUCAGUUGUUUUCUAGUCUAGUGACAUUGUCAUUGUAGUUUCAGUAGAAAUGACCUUCUUCCUAAUUAGUAACAGAGAUGAAAGUUUAUAUAGUUGUGAUAUUUUUGGUGUAAUAUUAUUGUUUGCAUGCAUAUUUUUUUUUUGUUUUCUGCAUGUUCAGAAUUGCAUGCUUUGGGGCCGCAUCAUAAAAACUUAUCUAAUGUAGAACACUCCAGUGGAGUCUAGUUUUACAACAACGGAGUGACCCAGGCAGUGUGCAAAAUUUGUGCAGGAAAACAAAGCCGAGUUUAGAUGUAGUAGAUGAUUGAUUACAAAACAACAAAAGAAUAAUAUACAUAAGCAAUCCAGCAAAAGGGAAAAUAAUGUCACAUACAACAAAAAUUGGCAACUUGCAAAGUCACAAAUCCGAGGCAAUAUUAUUAAUAUUUGACUUGUUGUAUAAACAUAAUAAGGUUUAAUUUCUAACAUCGAAAGAUAAUAUAUCUGUACAAGAACACCGAAGAGCACCAACUUAUCUGUAGCAUAAGAGUAAAUCCUCUGUCAUAUUUAAGAGCGGACUUCAGCCUGUAAGGACUUCCUUAUAGACGAUGUUCUUCAUCGAGGUUUGUAAGGACAAGGUAGGUCUUUUUCGCUUCUUUGAUUUACUGCUUUGCUUCUUGCCAUUCUCCUUGUCCUUCUCCUUCUCAAUGAGGAUCUUUAUAUUUCUCUUCGCGGUGGCUCGAGACAAUGCGACAUAGAGUUGACCAUGAGAAAACACCGGAUUAGGUAGGUACACGCCAACAAUCGGAAUCGUCUGUCCUUGAGCCUUGUUAAUCGUCAUAGCAAAGCUAAGCCUUACAGGAAAUUGCUUCCUCUUGAACUUGAAUGGAAACAUGUUGUUGACAGACGGGCAUAGGGGUAUUCGAGGAAGGAAUACCCUCCUACCUGCAUGUUGUCCGAUCACGAUUUCUGCGUCGAUGGCGUUCCUCUCGAAACCUCGCACCACAAGCCUCGUCCCGUUACACAGACCAUUAGCCGGAUCAAUGUUCCUUAGAAGUAUGACAGUGCAGUUGAGCUUCAGUUUGAGUGCAUGCGGAGGCAGACCGUUGGGAGUCAAUCCAUUUAGGAACUCAAGAGCAUAGUAGCCAUAUGGGUCGUCUUCUGCACUAUCAAAGCUAUGGUAGAUUACUUCUUCCCCCCGAAAAUGCUCUACCAUGCGUAUGUUUAUCUUGUCGAUGUUGUCGUUCGUGGUGGAGAGGAUUGCGCGUGAAGUCAUGUAAUUCGGAUCAGACAUGUUAUCAUCUAGUCUCGGAAACACAUGGUCAAUCAGCUUCUCCAGGUCGUCACCCUCGCCUGUAGACGGCACACAAAUAUCUUCAGGGAGUCGUAUGUUUCCUUGAUCGUCAACUCCCUCGGUACCAUUGCCUACCCUUAGCAAGUAAUCCGCAAACCAGGUGUCAUUAUGAGCCCUCAUGUUGGUGACGAGCCUUAGCUGGCGCAGACCCUUCCAGAGAUGUGAACUUCGGAGGGUUGCAUCGAUUAUCUGACCCCAGGACCCCCUCCUGACGACUGGAAGCACCUGCCUGAAGUCCCCGCCAAACACAACAGUUUUCCCUCCAAAGGGUCGGUCCCGUCUUCCCAUGAUGUCGCACAUGCUGUUGUCGAGUGCCUCGACCGCCUGUUGCUUAGUCAUGGUGGCCUCGUCCCAUAGUAUCAAUGAGGCCAUCCUCAGUAGCUUGGCGGUACCACUCUGCUUCGUGAAGGUGCAUGAGGCGCCAUCGUCGCAACUCAAUGGGAUCUUGAACCUCGAGUGGGCAGUCCUGCCUCCAGGCACGAUAGAAGCGGCGACACCUGACGUCGCGGUAGCGAUAGCGAUGUUUCCCUCGCUUCGAACGUUGGCGAGCAGCGCCCUGUACAGGAAGGUCUUCCCUGUACCUCCCGGGCCAUCAACAAAGAACACACCCCCAUCACCGCGUUCAACAGCAGCUAGUAUCUCGUUGUAUGCAACCCUCUGCUCCAAGUUUAGCGACGAUGCCAAUUUAGUGUCGUUGAUGUCAAAAUCGAUGUUGGAUUCCUCGAUCACUUCUCUGGCCUCGCCCUCGUUUGGGUCAAACGCAUCGUCAAUGCAUGGAAGAGCGAAAUCAGCUAUGUCUUUGCCCAUGGACUGCAACAUACCCCUAAUGUCAAGCAACACCAUCUGUUCCACCUCAUCAGACAUAGGCUCGAAGUGCCUAUCCCAUAAACCACGCACGUCGCUUGGCUCACAGUGCACCAAAGAAAGUAGUAUUUUGUUACUUGUCGGAGCCAGCUACAGACCCUAUUUUUUAAGAUACGUGGAAAGUAGUAUGGUGCAGAUGGACGCAUGGCUCAAACCAUUUAGCUUUUUAAGGUUGAACUAUGUAAAGCCUGUCUAAAGUCAUCGUCAUUUGUGAUGUCCUGUUCUAGUAUCACCCCUUCAGAGGGACUAAUAUGCAAUACUGACAUGGUAGGUUCUUUUGGUUUGUUGUUUUUGUCCAAAUCUGUUAGGCACGAUUGAUGAAAUGAUCAAAUAAAACCCAUUUGAUAAUGCACGUUAUUUACAAAAGCCCCAUACCUGGAGUCAUUGGGUAAUACUCGUCCAUGUUGUGACUCGGUGCGGGACGAUUUCUGGGAUGGAUUCGUUGACAUUUAUACCCUCAUUAUGGCCUGUAACGCGGAAGUUAUAUGCAAUGUUGUGUUUAUACCAGAAUGAAGGUCAACAAGACGGGGUAGAGGGUAUACCUGGACUUCCUUGGGGAUGUAGAUCAACAAGAGGUGGUAGAGGUACACCCGAUGCCUUUCUUUGUUCCGGUGCCUUGCUAUUUGAAUUUCCCAUACUUAACUUUUGUUCUGAUGAGUGACAUAUCACAAAUGUAGGUCAACAUGAGAAGAUCAAAUAAGAACUAUUUGAUAAUGCACGUUAUUUACAAAAGCCCCAUACCUGGAGUAAUUGGGUAAUACUCGUCAAUGUUGUGACUCGGUGCGGGAACGAUUUCUGGGAUGGAUUCGUCGACAUUUAUACCCUCAUUAUGGCCUGUAACACGGUAGUUAUAUGCAAUGUUGUGUUUACACCAGAAUGAAGGUCAACAAGACGGGGUAGAGGUAAACCUGGACUUCCUUGGGGAUGUAGAUCAACAAGAGGGGGUAGAGGUACAUCCGAUGCCUUUCUCUGUUCCGGUGCCUUGCUAUUUGAAUUUCCCAUACUUACCUUUUGUUCUGAUGAGUGACCUAUCACAAAUGUAGGCCAACAUGAGAAGCUAGAGUAGAGGUCCAUUUCAAAGUAAACUUACAGGAGGACAAAGCUACCAACUGCUUACAGGAAAAGCUUGAACCUGGUCGAGCUGGGGACAUUGAUAAAGAAAAGGUGUAAUUUAGCUUUGCGUAAAAUUCAGAGAAGUUGCAUAUGUAUAAAUUGUAUGAUUCACAAGUCCGAAAACCUUCAAGUGUCUUAUUGAAUGUGCUGCCGGCGGAAGCAUAAAAAAUCAUCAUACGUACGGGAAGGUACUGCUCCAUCGGAGUUCUGUACGUAUGUGCGUUGGGCCCUGUUGAAUGGACGAAGGGUUUAGGGUUUAGGCGAACCUGAUUUAGGCGGAACCUGAUCGG